GCUACAAUGGCAUAUACAAAGAGAAGCGACCUCGCGAGAGCAAGCGGACCUCAUAAAGUAUGUCGUAGUCCGGAUUGGAGUCUGCAACUCGACUCCAUGAAGUCGGAAUCGCUAGUAAUCGUGGAUCAGAAUGCCACGGUGAAUACGUUCCCGGGCCUUGUACACACCGCCCGUCACACCAUGGGAGUGGGUUGCAAAAGAAGUAGGUAGCUUAACCUUCGGGAGGGCGCUUACCACUUUGUGAUUCAUGACUGGGGUGAAGUCGUAACAAGGUAACCGUAGGGGAACCUGCGGUUGGAUCACCUCCUUA
rnacentral:rRNA from 1 species